GAGGCGGUCGUCCCAACCGACAUCGAGUUUGACUCACCUCGCGUCACCAUGUACACCAAGGCGGAGGCCAAAGAAGCACGAGAAGACGGCGUCAACCUACUGGAAGAGGGCCGGCUGUUGGCACUCAGCCGGUCCGCCAUCUACCAGCAAGGUCUAAGCCGCUACCACCGUCGGAAGGUCAAGCCGAGAUCCUUCCAAGAGGAAGACCUUAUGCUCCGGCUGAUCCAGCGAACAGUCGGCCAGCACAAGCUUUCGGCUCCUUGGGAGGGCCCUUUCAUCAUUAGCAAAGCCUUGGGCAAUGAAUCCUACUACCUGAUCGAUGCCUAG
rnacentral:rRNA from 1 species